UACGUAGGGAGCACGCGUUGUUCGGAUUUACUGGGCGUAAAGGGCGCGUAGGCGGCAUAUUAAGUCAUCUGUGAAAUCUCCGAGCUUAACUCGGAACUGUCAGCUGAUACUGAUGUGCUAGAGUGCGGAAGGGGCAAUCGGAAUUCUUGGUGUAGCGGUGAAAUGCGUAGAUAUCAAGAGGAACACCUGAGGUGAAGACGGGUUGCUGGGCCGACACUGACGCUGAGUGCGCGAAAGCCAGGGGAGCAAACGGG
rnacentral:rRNA from 1 species